UUAAGAAUUGUGAAUUUACAUUAAAAGUUCAUUCAGUACUUUAAUACUUCCCAUAUGAAAGUGAGAGAGGAGGAGGAGGAGAAGACAAAAAAAAAGAUGCUGGAAAAUCUGCUAUCCUUUCUGAAUGAACUGUUGCUUCACUUAAUCUAGAAAAAAAAAGGGGGAAAGGAUAUUUAACAGCUAAUGACUUUGGACUAUGUUAUCUCGUGUAGUUACUGAGCAGACAUCUUUAAUGAUUGCUGCAACAAAAUCUUAUCACGACGUAAGCUAAACUGUCCAGUUGUGAUGAAACGAUCAUUAAAUGCUACAAUUUUAACUCGAAUGGGCUACAAUUAUCGCCAGGUUAUGUUGCAACUUUUAUAUAGAAGAGUAGGGAGGAAGAAAGAAAAAAAAAACCUGAUUGAUAAGGAGUUUACAACGCCCCUGUAAACAUUGAAUAUCAUUCAUCCGCAUCCUUAGCAACAACUUUCAAAAAGCAUUUGGCAAAAUCGACUACAUUAUCUUCUUAAACAGGUGAUGGAUACGGUUGACAAGAAAAAUUACUUCCGCAUAACUGAAGUAAAUUUUACGAUAUAUAUUUUUUUUUCCUAUUGAACAUUGAUACAUCAAAUUGAAACCAUUACUUUUUACUUAUUUAUAUUCUAAAUUAAACGAAUAAUUUAAAUAAAUAUAUAAAAAUAUCACAUGUGUUAACUGUUGGAUUUAUGCCAGUUGAAAGACCAUCUGGUAAAGUUUUACUUAAUAUCUUUACGAUAUUAUAUUAACGAAUAAACCUUAAAAAUAAGCAAUUA